GCUGAACCAACAAAGCAAAUCGUAUCCAGUGAUGCCCUCAUCCAGACCGAUAUUUGGCUCUGGCAGAGCACAAGUGAACCUGCUGCAGACCUCCAGACAAAGAGAAAGGUCUUUGAGAAGGUGAUGGCUGUGAGGCGCCUGAGAGAGGAGGAGAUGAUGCUUUGCAGGGAGAUGCGGCAUCACUGGACAGUGUUGCGAAUGCGAUCUGUGGUGUUGGGGACAAUUUCCUCAGACUCCUCCCUUGUUGGCAUGUCGGCGGAUGCACAGAAGGGACUCCAUAGCCUGGUUUUAAAAAAACAAAGUGAACUGAAAGCUGAAAUGCUCAAAGUAAAGGACAUGUACAAGAGAAUCCUCAGCUACCAACCACUCCUGGAAAUGGACUCGGAGGAGGAGGAAGACAUUCCAGACGAUGCCACUGAGAGUGAUUUGAGCACUUCUGAUGAAGACUGA